CAGAGCCUCCAUGUUUGCAUUUGCAGCAUUCAGGGUACCUCGGCUAGUAGCCUUGGCUAGUACCCAGAAGGCUCCUGGGGCUGGGGAGAAGGGGGAGGGAAGGGGAGAGGGGGUAACCCCUGGUCCAGCAGCGCAGGGUCCCCACAGUGCCACCUCCACGCCAGCCGCUGGGGUUCUGCUCAUUCUGGUUCCCUGGAGGGCUGUCUCUUCAUAGACGCACACUGCCCCUCCCAGCAUCACUUGUGGGGAGAGACUGCAGACCAAGCCCAGCCCACGGACCACCACUCCUCUGAAUUCCUGCCUGAGACCCUUGCUCUGCACUUCCUACCCUGUGUGCAUCUCAUGCACCCACUGCAUGCAUUGUGGCAAAGGAUCAGACUGUCCCCCACCUCCAACCCCCCGCUCAGACUCCCCCAGGAAAUGGCAUAUAAUCCUCACUUGCAAUUCUGAAAGAAUUAGGCGUCAUGACCAUGUGGAGGCAGACUUGUGGGGGCCAGUGCAUGGGGUUAGGCGGCUGCCUCUACAUCCCCGAGCUGCUCUGAGGAGAAGAGGUUGAGGCCUGGACCCAUCUGCAUGCCCCAGUGGACUGGGAGCAGAGGCGGUGGGGCCCAGAGAGCGAGGAGCAGCUGUGAACCAGUCAGCCGGGCCCGGGCGCCUGCCAUUCCUCUGUCCCCCUGACUUGGGAGGCUGUCUUUUCCCAGGCGCCUAAUGCCCAUCAGGCAGGGGUCUUGGUGACAGCUUUGAACCGAAGGCAAGUGGCAGAGUGGGUUAGCAGUGGACAUAUGGAGCGAGGGGUGUGUGUGCGCGUGUGUCUCAGGGGGCGGGCAUCCUUCCCCUGAUGUGGGAACCUCCCACUUCAUCUGUCUGUCCUGUCCUCUCUGGUGGAGUUGGCAUGUGUGCCCAGCACACGGGUAAUCAGAGAAUGGACACCCCAUCCUGAUAGGCCCUGGUCUGGGGGAAGGACUUGGCCUUGUGACCUUUGCCCUUUGACCCUUCUCCAGAGUCUCUGUGGCUCUGGAGAAGUGAUGCAUUGAUUUCCAGGUGUAUUAAUGUAGCUUUCUUCAUCCAUAACCAAGCAGCACAGCCCAGAUAAGAUGGACACGGGAGGUCAGGAUGGUCAUGCUGUGUGUACGGGGCUGGGUGCUGACCCGGGGCACUGCUCAACUCCUCUUGAUGUAUGUCCCUAGCGGCCACAUCCUCGGAGCCUGCAGCCCACUAGUUGGCCCUCUGUCCAGACAGAGGCUGGCCAAGGCAGGCCAUGUGUGCUGGGCAGUGACAUCGUCCCCCUCAGCCUGAGCUCCAGAGUCCUCGCCUGAUGCACUGACACACUGGCCGGGGUGCCCGUGCUGGUGGGCAGCACAGCCCAGGUCUCUGGUCCCUGGACAUCUGGGCUGAGAGGCCUGGGGGGGCAGGAGCUGCAGCAGGAAGGACCACCUCUUGAUUCUCAACCCACCUCUUAAGCCUCCUGGAUUUCAGCCACUUGACCCCGUGGAAUGGACAUGAUGUCCCCAGAUGGCCACGUGGUGAUGACAGCUGUGGUGGAGAGCAGCUUCGAGGAUAGGCAUCUGCGUCUGAGCCAGGUGGAGGGGCCUUGGUCCUCCUCUGCCUGGGCCAGCGCCUCGGAGCACAAAGCUCUGGGGACGCUCCAGGGAGACCCCCACCACCGCCUAUGUCUCCCUUUGUGACUCUGUGACUGGAAGAGGCACAAGGGCCAAGUGUUUGUGAUCAGGGGGGAAGGCGGCAGAGCAGAAAUUCAGCCUCACCCACCCGGGGAACCAUCCAGCCCGGCCCGGUUCCUGUCCUACAGGGUGGUCAGGGGAUGGGAAGCCCUGUGUGUCCCGGCCCUGAGGCUUGAGCUGCUGUAACAAACCCUGAGCACAAAGGAAAUAUACUCUUUGCUGAAGCAGUCAUGAAGCACCCUGGCUCCCUCUUUGUCACCCUCCAUGCCCUGCUUCCCCAGGCCUGCUGCCAGCCCACAAAGAGCAGCCCAGGGCCUCCCCUUCCUGCUCAGGCCAUCCACUGAGCCACUCGGCCAGCACCCGUGUGCUGGGCACACACUCUCACCCGUUGCAAGGAAAGCUGGGAUAAGUAGUCUCCAUCUGGGAGGCUCUGGACAUAGCUGAAAUUUGGGGGUUCUAGGACAGGGAAAAGUUGAGCAGAGGAGGGGGUGAGCUUCUGCCGCAGGCACGCCCACCCUGGCUGGGUGCCCACGCUGAGCACAGAUGCCUCUCACCCUCCCAGAGGCUGGCGGCCAGGCACCCAGGCAGUGGGUGAGUCGUGGUGGCCCGUGGCCUCGUCCACACUCUCAGAAUGGGUGCCACAGCAGUUAUGGGACCAAGGGUCAGGCUUCUAAAAAGAGCGGGUGUCAUGAAAGGAAACCUUGAUGAAACAGAGACACGAAGGCACUUUGGGUGACAAUCGUGCUAGAAAUGGCAGGUUCCUGCGUCACACAGAUGGACAUAAACAAGAAACAAAUGAACCCUCGUGGUGCCGCCAUCACCUUCUCCUGGAGGGGUCCAGAGGUCAUACAUUGUGUUCUGAGGCUGGGGGCAGAAGCAGAAGGGCCCAGGGUCAGGGCUCCUAGGGCUUGUAGCUUUCCUUACGCUCCAUGGUUCAGAGUCCCUAGGUCCCAGUGGAUGCAGCAGAGGGGCCAUUGUGAACGUCCAGCAGCUGACAGGACAAGGCUCUGAAAGUCACAUAAGGGACUGAGGGUGGGGUCAGGGUCAGUCCCUGACAAACAUAAGACUGAACAGUCUUGCUGUGUUUGAGGUCAGCGCAAAGGGAUCAGCACAGGACGUGCUCCUCGGAGGUCGGCCGUGGGCCAGAAAGGCAGCCCUGGAAAUUUCCUGUGGUCUUCACCAGGUGACAUGCCAUGUGACUCCGAGGGAACCCAGCUGAAACAGGGGAGCAACAGGAUGGGAGAGUGGGGCUGGAGGGAGGAAGGGACUUUGCAAAGAAACAGAAGGUGCCGCAGCGGAAGUAAAACCUGACUUGGGAGAGGACCGCCCUGGAGAAAAACCCACACAGACCUUCCAGAACCUAGUGGGAAAGAAGCAGGAAAAACGAGGAAGGCAGGUGUACAGGCAGAGAGCAGGGGGCCGAGAGCUGGACACUGGGGUUUCCUGUCAGAGCCCAGAGCAAAUGACGUGCGUGUGACACAUGACACCUGUAACAACACGGGACUACGUAACAUCGUGUAUGAUAUAUGGAUCCUAGCAUUUCCUGAUACGUAACACACAGGACACACUAAUGCAGGACAUGUAUCUACGCUAACAUACUACAUACAAUACACAAAUAUAACAUGAUACACUGACCCAUAACAGAUCCUGAUUCUUAACACAAAAUACACUAACCUAUAUAAUACACAGCUAUAUAACAUGAUAUACUGACAUGUAACAUAUACUGAUACAUAACACAUAGAAUACACUAACACAUAACGUGUGCCACACUAACAAUAAUACACUAAUACACAACAUAUACACUAAUACACAUAUAUAAAUACACAACCAUAUAACAUGAUGUACUAAUGCAUAACAUAAAUUACUGAUACAUAACAUAAUACAUGAAUACAUAACAUGUAUAAUAAUACAUGUCAUAUAAUAAUACAUAACACAUGUAAUACACUAAUGCACAACAUGUAUAAUAAAUACACUAAUACAUAGCAUAUAAUAGACUAAUACAUAUGUACUAUACUAAUAUAUAAUGUACAUCAUGCACCAAAAUGACGUAUAUACUAAUACAAUUACAAUACAAUGACACAUAACUAGAUCAUAGAAGAAUAAUUAUAGCUAUAGACAGACAUCAGGUAGGUGGAGGAUGAAACGACACCCCCCGCCCCAGGGAGGGCAGGAGAACAUGCAGGUAGGUGGUGGGUUGGCGGUAUGGGGAAGGUGAACAGUGGAGUUCAGGUAGCAUGAGCCCGUUGGCCUCCCUGGAAGGCUUCCUGGGUGCUGGUUGUCACCUUGUCUAGUCCUUGACCCUCCUCUGGUCCCUAUGGUUUCCUGAGUGCCAGGCUUUAUUGAGUGUUUGUGGGGCUUCUACAGCCCUGAUGUUUUCCCUUGGAAACCACCCCCCCCCUUUUUUGGCUUUUUAUGGCCACACCCAUGGCAUAUGGAAGUUCCCAGGCUAGGGGUCAAAUCGGAGCUGCAGCUGCCAGCCUGCACCACAGCCACAGCAAUGCGGGAUCUUUAACCCUUGAGUGAUACCAGGGAUUGAACCCACAUCCUCAUUCCUGAUGGAUCCUAGUUGGGUUCAUUACUGCUAAGCCACAAUGGGAACUCCUCACUUGGAAAACCCUUAUUUGAUUUCUGUGGAACUAAUGUAUUUUUUAUAUUUAUUAUUAUUCUUUAUUUUAAUGAUUUUUAUUUUUUUCCACUAUAUCUGGCUUACAGUAUUCUGUCAAUUUUCUGCAGUACAGCAAGGCAACCCAGUCACACAUACAUAUAUACAUUAUUUUUUCUUACAUUAUCAUGCUUCCUCAUAAGUGACUAGACAUAGUACCCAGUGCUAUACAGCAGGAUCUCAUUGCUUACACAUUCCAAAGGCAAUAGUCUGCAUCUAUUAACCCCAAAUUCCCAGUCCAUCCCACUCCCUCCCCCUCCCCCUUGGCAACCACACGUCUUGAACUAAUACAUGAAAAUAAUGUUAUAAUAAUAUAUACUCACAUAUACUAAUAUAAUUGUGAUACAAUAAUAAUAUCAUUGUAACUACACACACUUGUACAGUUUACAUCACACAGCUGCCUCAUGUUCUGUUACAAUUUAAAGAGUAGACUCUGUGGCCUGUAGUGUGGCCACCUUCUCCGCGAGAAGCCCAGCACCGCUUUUGGCAUCUGUCCUCCUGCAGGCAUCGCCCUCUUCCUCUGGGAACUUCAGCUUCCUGCCUCCUAACCUCUCCCUGCCUCGGUUUCCUCAUCUGCCUCACAGCUGUGCAGACCACAUGAGCCAAGGUGUGAAAUGCGCUUAGAACCACAUCUGGCAGGGAGCAAAGGCUACUAAUUCACAGACUGUUAGAUGUCCCAGGCGAUAAACCAGAUAAACCCAGUUGGGAAUGGUCGUGGCUUUAAAAAGCCUGGAAACCUCAGGGUGGGGCUGAGGGGUUAUUUGCAUUUUCCUAGGGGGAAGCCAAUCACCGGACCUCCUGUUCAAUGCCAGACACCUGGGAAUCCCACUCGGGCCCAACAUCCUUACACCAACACUCUUUCCACCCCACAGGGAUAUGGCCCUUGCAUCCCGUAAGCAAAACCCCCAAUAUAUGCCUGGUCUUGAGGGGCCUGUGGCUUGAGGGCAGGGGCCUGUCUCUGGGGGUGGCCCUACCCUCAGAUGAUUGGGCAGUUGGGCCUCCUCUAAAAGGGCGAGGUGGUGCUUUUGUCCUGCGUGGGGCUGGUGAUUUCAAGCUUGGGUCCUGGAGCUAUGGGUGGGGGCUCUGAAUGCACCCAUCUUUCUCUCCCCGUAGCCCUGCCACCAUGUCUCCAUCGUCUCGGGGGGAAGGGGCCUUGGCUCCAGUCCACUCAUGUCCAUUCACAUGGACUUCCAUUACCAGUGCUUCCUGCACACCGGCCGGGCCCCAUCCCCUGCCACCCACAAGAGAGGGAUUCUGGACAGACCAGAGAUGUCCUCAGGCUGCUGGAGACACCGGGUCCCAUAGGUGCCAUCUAUAUUCACAGUCAGCGGGCAUUCCCAGCCACGCAUACGUAAACACCGCCAUGCCACUGUUUGCAAAGCCCUUGCCAAUGUUAUGCAACAAGAAAAAAGUGAGGGGCAGCCACAGGAAAGGACAGAUCAGGGUGGCCUUUACUGCAUGCAGCGUUUUUGUCCAGAAAGUCAGAAAACAGUCAAUUGAAGGCCUGACAGAACUCUCAAUUUCCAGGGCUUUAAUUUUUAGAUUCUCCCUGUGCAUAGAGGACGGAAGGCUUGGUCAAGGUGGGGACAGGACACAGGUUUCCUGUCCUCCAGCUCCUGUAGCUGACGAAAGUCCCACCAAGAACUCAGAGGGCCAUGGGGUCAGUCCAAUGUCCUGCUUGGUCAGCAGGAUGUACCUGGAUCCAACCAUUCCCUCCACCCACUGGGGCCCAGGCCACUCCUGCCCCUUUGCCUGGACUAUUGCAGUAGCCCACUUACAGGUCGGUGGUCAGGAGGAGCCACAUAAAAUCUGUCUGAGUCCCUCGUCCCUCCACUGCUCAGGGAGGACAAGGAAGACCUCGUAAGGUCCUUGAGAGCUGAUCUGUGGCCCCAGGCCCUGGUUCCGGCGGCCCCACCCACAGUGCUGUUCUGCCUGGAAGACACCAGGCAGCUCCCAGUUCCAGGGCUGUGAUGGCCAUCCCUCUGCCUGGACAGCUCUCCCCUCCGCUCCCUCCUCACUUCCUUCCAGUCUGUGCUCAGGUGUUACUGCAGCCAGAGGGCUCCAGGUGAUGCGCUGCCCAGCUCUGCAUGUCCUUGCCUGAAGAAACACUCCAGCAUAGGGAGGCUGGGCAUCAGGAACCCUCUGAGCUACCUGGGCAACUCUUAGAAAU
rnacentral:lncRNA from 1 species